GGAGGGGUGCCGGAGCGGUUUAUCGGGCCAGUCUUGAAAACCGGUGAGGUCCUUGCGGCCACCGUGGGUUCGAAGCCCACCCCCUCCACCA
rnacentral:tRNA from 1 species